AGAGUUUGAUCCUGGCUCAGGAUGAACGCUGGCGGUAUGCCUAACACAUGCAAGUCGAACGAUGUCUUCGGACAUAGUGGCGGACGGGUGAGUAACGCGUGAGAAUCUGCCUCUAGGAUGGGGAUAACGGUUGGAAACGACCGCUAACACCCAAUAUGCCGUAAGGUGAAAAAUUUAUUGCCUGGAGAGGAGCUCGCGUCUGAUUAGCUAGUUGGUGGGGUAAGAGCUCACCAAGGCCUCGAUCAGUAGCUGGUCUGAGAGGAUGAGCAGCCACACUGGGACUGAGACACGGCCCAGACUCCUACGGGAGGCAGCAGUGGGGAAUUUUCCGCAAUGGGCGAAAGCCUGACGGAGCAAUACCGUGUGAGGGAGGAAUGCCUUUGGGUUGUAAACCUCUUUUCUCAGGGAAGAAGAUCUGACGGUACCUGAGGAAUAAGUAUCGGCUAACUCCGUGCCAGCAGCCGCGGUAAUACGGAGGAUGCAAGCGUUAUCCGGAAUUAUUGGGCGUAAAGCGUCCGCAGGUGGUUUCCAAAGUCUGCUGUUAAAGACUGGAGCUCAACUCCGGAACGGCGGUGGAAACUUGGAAACUAGAGUUCGGUAGGGGUAGCAGGAAUUCCCAGUGUAGCGGUGAAAUGCGUAGAUAUUGGGAAGAACAUCGGUGGCGAAGGCGUGCUACUGGACCGUAACUGACACUCAGGGACGAAAGCUAGGGGAGCGAAAGGGAUUAGAUACCCCUGUAGUCCUAGCUGUAAACGAUGGAAACUAGGUGUGGCUUGUAUCG
rnacentral:rRNA from 1 species